rnacentral:rRNA from 1 species
AACCAGGACUUUUACUUUGAAAAAAUUAGAGUGUUCAAAGCAGGCCUUUGCUCGAAUACAUUAGCAUGGAAUAAUAGAAUAGGACGUGUGGUUCUAUUUUGUUGGUUUCUAGGACCGCCGUAAUGAUUAAUAGGGAUAGUCGGGGGCAUCAGUAUUCAAUUGUCAGAGGUGAAAUUCUUGGAUUUAUGAAAGACGGACCACUGCGAAAGCAUUUGUCAAGGAUGUUUUCAUUAAUCAAGAACGAAAGUUGGGGGCUCGAAGACGAUCAGAUACCGUCCUAGUCUCAACCAUAAACGAUGCCGACCAGGGAUCGGCGGAUGUUGCUCUAAGGACUCCGCCAGCACCUUCUGAGAAAUCAGAGUGUUUGGGUUCCGGGGGGAGUAUGGUCGCAAGGCUGA